CCCUUAGAUGUUCUGGGCCGCACGCGCGCUACACUGAUGCAUUCAACGAGUUUCUUCCUGGUCCGAGAGGAAUGGGUAACCUUUUGAAAGUGCAUCGUGAUAGGGAUAGACUAUUGCAAUUAUUGGUCUUCAACGAGGAAUUCCUAGUAGACGUAGUUCAUCAGCCUGCAUCGAUUACGUCCCUGCCCUUUGUACACACCGCCCGUCGCUCCUACCGAUUGAAUGCUCAGGUGAGCCAUUCGGACUUUCAUCAUGCUGGUUUCCAGUUUUGAUGAAGGAAAGUCUUGCGAACCUUAUCAUUUAGAGGAAGGAGAAGUCGUAACA
rnacentral:rRNA from 1 species